UCCAAUUUUGUCAACCGGAUGGAGACGGUCACUGAUCCAGUAGUUGGAAAUGUCCACAUAGUUCCUCAAAUCUAGUCUCAAUGAUAUGGAGUCUCCCGUCAAUCUGCGGCUCUAUGUCAACAAGUCAACGCUCAAUCGCGGAAACGCGUUGAAGCGCCAGUGUAGAGGUGCACUCCCCCACGUCUGCGCCCAUCAUAUCCUCCCCUUGGGGCACCGGAUCUCCAUGUUGGCUCUUUUGGAUAAUCCCUAUUUGAGUUAGUGCUCAAUUCCUGCUAACUUUAUCCUCGAGGCCGGACAAUCUAAGAACACAGUAGUGACUUGUAGACCGUGUGCCAGUUGGGUAGCAUACGGACCAAUGGCAAUGGUCCAUAGACGUCCAUCAGCGGCUUGCUUCACAAAUAGUCGAGCAAGCAAAUAUCUAAUAUUGAUGGGCACCGCAGUCUCUAUGCUCUAUAUAUACUCAGAUCACCCGUAAUGGCAACACUCAUGCUCGAGUUACGUCCAAUCAACAUAUGUGCAAAAUGUGUAAAUGUACCGAAGCGUUUGUGAGCGAAACGCGGUUGCUUUCGACUGCCCUGGAAGGUAGUUUGCAGAAUCCGUAAUUGACCUGUAGUAGAUCUUUUGGGACGCUUGUAAUUCCCCCUUUAUCGAUUUAUAGUCCCUUGUUCUAGUAAAUUCUUUGUCAUAAAGCCCCAUCGCAAUUAAAAAUUCGAUAACGGAAAGUCGGAAGCAUAAAUUCCCUAGUCGGAAGCGUUGUGUUGCUGGAUAGUUGAACUCAUGUAAGUGCUUUAUUUCAGACUCCAAAGUAGCCAGCAAUUCCAAUGUGAGGGUACGCGUUGCGUGUUGUCCUGAAUAACAAAAAAGUGUUUCCAUGCUUUAACGUUCAGGUAUUUUUCGAGUUCUUCAGUCGCGGAGAGUGCCUUCACUGUUUCGUUAGUAAUGUAUCGACAGUGAUGAAAGAGACACCCUGAGGGUGUUUGAACUUUGCAGCAUGCUCCAGAUUAUCGAACAUCCGUGCAAUCUCCUUGUCCAUGGGUGGAGCAGGAGUCAAAGUCGUGACCUUACUCUUUUUUGUAGCUCGUGGCCUCUUUUUCGCCGGAGCCAUACUCCGGUUUGCAAAGAAGACCUAUAAACUACACAAAGCAAUAAAACAUUGCGGGAGUGGCAAAGUUUUGUAAAUUUGCAUUGAAGGAAUUGCGUCGAUGGAUGAAGCCAAAAAAGGUGAAAACUUCAAUGACCACUUUCCCAUCAUCAGGCGAAAUAGUGUCAGAACCUUUAGGUGUUGCUUUGAUAAUAUCAGCGUGCAAUUACCCCCCAUCU